GCCGCAAUAGCUCAGUCGGUAGAGCACCUCAUUCGUAAUGAGGGGGUCGGGGGUUCGAAUCCCUCUUGCGGCACCA
rnacentral:tRNA from 1 species